rnacentral:rRNA from 1 species
UAGUCCACGCCGUAAACGAUGUCAACUAGCCGUUGGGUCCAUUUAAGGGCUGAGUGGCGCAGCUAACGCGAUAAGUUGACCGCCUGGGGAGUACGCCGGCAACGGUAAAACUCAAAGGAAUUGACGGGGCCCGCACAAGCGGUGGAGCAUGUGGUUUAAUUCGAUGCAACGCGAAAAACCUUACCUACCCUUGACAUCAUCGGAACUUGUUAGAGAUAACUCGGUGCCUUCGGGAGCCGAUAGACAGGUGCUGCAUGGCUGUCGUCAGCUCGUGUCGUGAGAUGUUGGGUUAAGUCCCGCAACGAGCGCAACCCUUACCCUUAGUUGCCACCAUUAAGUUGGGGACUCUAAGGAGACUGCCGGUGAUAAACCGGAGGAAGGUGGGGAUGACGUCAAGUCCUCAUGGCCCUUACGCCUAGGGGCUACACACGUACUACAAUGGGCGAAGACAAACUGAUGCGAAGCAGCGAUGUGGAGCAAAUCGGGAAAAAACAUACGUCUCAGUCCGGGAUAGGGAGUCUGCAAC